rnacentral:sRNA from 2 species
UCCGGGCGGACGCCGAGUCCUGCCGCCGCCCGGAUGACCGGUCGACAGGAGUGGAUCGGCAGGAGUGGAGGACCCAAGCACGACGGGUCGCCGGCACGGUCACGCCAUGACCGGACCGAGCAGCCCUUGGGGUGAAGCCGCGCAUGCGGCCGGGCAACUUCGCCAGCCCGAAUCCGACAGGUCAUCCUUCACAGGCGGCUGACGAAGGGUUG